rnacentral:lncRNA from 10 species
GAGUGCUGGGUCGGGCUUCCAGCUCCCUACAACGCAGACCAGUACUGGAGUUCGUGGUGCUGGAAGACCGCCGCCCGACUCUGGGCCCCGGGUAGGAAACAACAAUUUCGGACCUCCUGGGGUCUAUGCUAGGUAUGAGGUGUAUCUUUGCCCUCCAUCAAGUAGCAAAGAUGGACAUGUAAACAAAUUUCGACACUGUGAUGACUGCCACAAAAAGCAGCAUUAUGAGGUUGAAUGUAAAAGGAUAACCUUAGCGGCGGCGGGGGCCGGAGGAUGAAGGAAGGCUUCCUGAGGUAGGCGCUGGUUGAAACUGAAGUUGGAGAGAGCAAGUGGCAUUUGCUGAAGUGCAUUUCCGGUAGAAAACUCCAGUGGUCCCUCACCUGACUGAGUGGCGCAGUCAGAGAUAAAUGGAACAGAGUCUACAAAUAAACAUUUUAUAAAGAUGAUCCUUCAAUACAUAUUCUACAGCCCAGUUAAAAUGUGAGAGGCCAUGAUCUACAGACAGCCAUUUAUAAAGGUGGAUCAGGGCCGGACACGGUGGCUCAACGUCUGUAAUCCCGGCACUGUGGGAGGCCAAAGCGGGAGGAUCGCUUGAGCCCAGGAGUUCGAGACCAACCUGGCCAACAUGGUGAGACCCCA